UACGUAGGGGGCAAGCGUUGUCCGGAUUUAUUGGGCGUAAAGCGCGUGUAGGCGGCCAGGUAGGUCGGUUGUGAAAACUCGAGGCUCAACCUCGAGAUGUCGACCGAAACCAUCUGGCUAGAGUCCGGAAGAGGAGAAUGGAAUUCCCGGUGUAGCGGUGAAAUGCGCAGAUAUCGGGAAGAACACCCGUGGCGAAGGCGGUUCUGCUGGGACGGUACUGACGCUGAGACGCGAAAGCGUGGGGAGCGAACAGGAUA
rnacentral:rRNA from 1 species